rnacentral:rRNA from 1 species
GAAUACGUUCCGKCASUGUACGACACCGCCCGUCACACCACGAAAGUCCAUUCACACCCGAAGCCGGUGAGGUAACCGCAAGGAGCCAGCCGUCGAAGGUGGGGGCGAUGAUUGGGGUGAAGUCGUAACAAGGUAGCCGUAUCGGAAGGUGCGGCUGGAUCACCUCCUUUCUA